UUUUUUUUUUUUUUUUUUGUCGACACUGAGGUGUCCGGGUCAAGACCAGAAGGCGGCCCGACUAAUCCCCAGCGGCCCGGGAGGAGAGGCCCCAUCCCCCCAAGCACGGUAACCCUGCACGACUCGAACCCCUGGCAAGCGCUCCUAAGGAGGCGUGCGCUGCCAGAUGAGCUGCCCAGGAGGGGCCCCAAAUAUAAAAUGUAUGCUCAGGUAUGACUUCCAGAAUUUCCCAUUUGAAUAGUAUCAUAAUGCAGAGCUUGAAAAAAGGGAUAAUUUCAGAAGCCUCACCCAAGGUUUCUUAUAAUACCAUUCAGCUCUCCUGAAGUUUUUAAAAUCUCACAUACCUUCCUUAAAUUGAUAUUUUUUUUGUAACAUUUUAACCCCUUUGGAGAAAAUACAAGAAAGAUAAAACUUUUUGUUCCAAUACUACCCUUAUAUUAUCCUACUUAUGAAAUUUAUAACAACAAUAAAAGAAUAAAAUAAGGCUAAAUUUUUAUAAGGUGUAAAUUUCUUGACAUAAACUAUAUAUUUUAGUUGUAUUGGAACAAAAGCAAAAUUUACACUUUGAAAAAUUCAUACAUAUGAAGGGAUUUUUUUAGUUUUCAAUAUAACUUAAACUACACCAUGAAUUAAAACACAUUUCCCCAAAAAGUAUCUUGACUUCCUUAAUUGUAAUUGUGCACAAAAUUUUUUGAGGUGUUAAUUACUCUCUAAAAUCCUCCUAAAUGGUUAAUCUUGAUUAGAUUUAAUUUAUUCAUACCAUUUGCUAUUCCACCAUAACGUCAAUGUAAGAAAAUAUGGACCAUUAUUAGCUAGCAAUUUGUUUUUGUAAUUUACAUUUUUCGCCUUUUAAAAUUUUAUUUUGUUUUGGUUUUUUGAUUAAAUAGUUAUUAAGAGCAAGGGUAAUUUUGUGAAUUUGUGACCUUUGAUAAGAACAUUUAGUCUUGUCAAGCUGACAAGGGAGGUAAGUGAAAUUUUAAAAAAUUGAGCGAACCUGAGUAAUAUUAUGGCAAACCUCAGGGGAGGUUUCUGAAAUUAUCCCUUGAAAAAAUAUUCAACUCCCUUGCGCCAAAAAGAGAAAAAACCAAUCCCAUAACCUUCAAGGAGCAAUCAAUAGACAUGCAGCUUUGAGAAGUUUAACCUAAUAUCUGGUGAUUAUUAAUCAAAAGAAACUAAUAAUGUGUCGGUUCCCCUUUUGAUUUGGGUUCAAUGCUCUAUCUUUGUUCUGUCCUUCCUCUAUCAAGUUAACUUGAUACUGUUUCUUUCUAGGCCUUCCCAAAUAAACCUCAGAAAAAUAUCAUACCUACUACAAAGUCUAAUCUGGAUGUAAUUGCGAACACCCCUUUUUCUAUCUAUCCUAAUUGACACAAUAUUGGGAAAAAUAACUUCAGUAUUUUCCUUUGCUUGCCGGCCUGGCGUAGCUUGCUUAUUAGUAUUACUGUGUUAUACGAAUUCUCUUGCGAGAAAAUUGCAGCCUAGUUAACUCUUAUAAUCUUGGCAGAGCAUGUAGACCCCCCGCCCCAAAAAAAAAAAAAAAAACCCGUUUCUGGCUAUCAUAUGGGACAUUGAAGGGACGAAGCCGUACAAAAGCUAUAGCUGCGCGAAAGAUCAAAAGCAAUGCAUUUGGAUUCCUCAAUCUUUUAUUGUGCCUUCUGAUUUUUCUUAGCAAGAAAGGGGUACUUCUACUUCAAAUUAAAAUUCCAACUACUUUCAACUUUAUGGUGCCUUCGCGUCUGGUUGGACCUCGGGCAAUUCUUCCCUAGUAAUGAGCAUGAACCACAACGACACUGAACCAGAAAGCCAUUACCAGACUGGAAUGAUUGGUGCAACAACAAUUGG
rnacentral:lncRNA from 1 species